CUUUGAAAAACAACCGGCGGCCGGUGCUCCGACCCCUGCAAGUGUGAGGACCCCUGUUCCUCCCUUGCCUGGGCAUCACUGAAUUAGGCACCUUCGCUUUUGGAGAAUUCCUCCUUUAUGAUUCCUUCUUUAUUCUCCCUGUUUCAUCCACAUAAUAUGCUUCUGUUACCGCAAAUAUCGAUUCCCGGACACACAGAUGCAGAAGUAGGAUGUUGCUGAGAUGUCUGUGUUGCUGUGAUUCACUCGAUUCUCUGGGAAUGAGUUUCAGGUGUGCAUUAUGGCAAUUCAACACUUCCAUACAACACCGGGUGCCCAUCACAAGUGUGCUCCUUAAUCCCCAUCACUCAUGUAACCUAUCCCCCCACCCUAGGAUAUGACCUCACAGUCGAGUGGCCAUAAUGGAAGUGGGGCCUGAAGGGGGCAGAGCGGGGAGUGAACAGUCAUCUGUUUGUCAAGAGACAAGGUAAGCGGGCCUUUCCCUCAGCAGUGAGAAGACCCCGAGCGCUGCAACACCUUCCCGCGAAAUGUGCUCGUCUGGAAACUGAUAUCCACGAAGAGUUUCUACCUGGAAACAAAGUACGCAGCCUAAACCCAACCUGUGCUUCGGCAAGGGAAACCACGCCCCGUGGUUGUGCCGACCUUCCAGGAGCAGAGGCCGAAAGGCCCAGCGAAUGAACCGGCCCGGGUCUCGCUGUGGCCGGAGUGUGUGAGUCCUCUCAACUUUCACAUGUUAAAAUCUUGACCCCUAAAUUGCUGGUAUUGGGGGCUGGAGCCUUUGAUCAGAUCACGAUGGGAAUCAUCAAGGCAGAUUCACGCUCUUAUUAAAGAAACUCCAGAGGGCUUGCUCGCUCAUUCACCCGGGGAACAUAGUGAGCCAUCGGCCUCUGCGAUCCCGAAGAGGGCUCCCACCAGAAUCCAAGUGUGUUGGCUCCCGGAUCUUGCACUUUGAAGCUUCUAGAACUGUAGGAAAUAAAUAUUUGUUGUAUAUAAUCCGCCUAAUCUAUGGUAUUUUGUGAUAGCAACCCAAACAGACUAAUCCUAAAAAAAAUAAAAAAAAUGAGCUCGACCAGAAGAAAAGGCAGCCACAGUAGGAAACCUAG